AUUUUUUACCUUUUUCAAAAACAGUGCUCUCUGAUCAUUGCUUGUGAGUAUGUAUCUUUUUUGCCUUAUUGGUGAGGCUCUGAAUCUAACCUAUAACAUCACCAAUCAUAAACUUUAAUUCAAUUGGACCCUAGAAAGGAUGGUAUUAGAGCCUUAACCAACUCUCGACUCGCAUUAUCUCACAACGUCACAUCUGUUUUACCUUUGAAGAUUUAAGAAAUUCUUGCCCAUGGUCCAAACACAAAAAAGGUGAGAUUACGUAUAGAAUGGCCCAGUUGCGAGUUUAGCUCUAAAAGUUGAGUUUUGUAGUUUAGCUGAAAUUGACGUGAUUUGUCUAAACGGCAAGUUUCUGUACAGCAUUUGAGUUUGUUUAUCUUUAUACCUACGCGUGCCAAACUCUGUGAAAGUACUCAUGGAAAUCAGUUUGUCUAGAAGGGCAAUGUCUCAUUCUCCAUAUUAAUGCAUUCACUCCCAAAGUUUAGCGCUAUUUUUAAAUGUAGGUAAGUAAUAUUUACACACCUAGGUGGUAUACUUUUAAAACCAAAAUGAACUGAUAUUAAAAUUUUUGGGAAAUAAAAACAGAAUAAAUAGGAUUUGUAUGAAAAUUUAGAUUUGCGUCCAAAUUUGAAGCUCAUUUAUAGAAAUCAGAAUUGUUCAAAGAAAUGGUAUAUUUAUAAACAUUAAAUCGUUUAUUAUAAAUCCUCUUAGAGUUUUACCAGGUGCACAGGAAGAUGGUUGGAGGCUCGUAGCGAUGGGCAUUGCUUAACAGUGGACAACUGAGGACUUCAUAUUUUUCUGGCUCUGAUCAUCUCCCCACGUGAGGCUUCUUUACACUAAGCAGCGGAAAUUCUAAUUUGAGAGACACAAAUGAAAAAAUGCCAUUUUCGAAGGAUGUCGAGGCUGACUACGAAGAAAGGUACCACCAUGCAAAUGAAGAAAAUCUCCUGCUGAAAAAAACAAUAAAUCAGCAGCUAAAAUUAAUCAAAAAAUUAAAUGCGUCUCUGCAGUGGUAUGGAAGAAAGGACUCAAAGGACGAUGAAAGGUCGCCCUCUCAAGAUCCCGGCAGAGAGUGCCGUUUGCGAGAGUUAGAAACUUCCAAUAAAAUCUUAUCAAAUAAGGUCAAAGUGCUGAAACAGCAGCUGAUAUCACUCUCCUCAUUUCAAGCAACACCAAAGCCCCCUACUUCACGAGGUGUGUCGCCAUCCAAGGAGUCUGUCCACUCUUUGCCCUCCAAAAGGCCGAAAUCAUCCACCACGCCAUCUGAUCAACGGAAUCAAGCGGAGUCAAUGAUGAGCCCAGCCUUGGAGGAAAAAAUGAAUGGGCAACCUCUUUUCACAAUUGACGAAGACUUGGAAGGCCUCAGAGGUGGAAGUCAGUUGACGGUAUUUGAUGGUGAUCCUGGAAUGCGCUCAGAUUCGGCAGAAAGCGUCUGUGAUAUUUCUAGUAAACUUUUAGUCAAUGUUGAAGUCAUUCGAAUGAAGAGAAUGAUGAAAUGGCAGAAUGCUCAGCUGACAACUUUAUUAACCUGUGUUGACAAUUUGAAUCAAGAAAGUCAAUCGAUGAAGGAGACGAUGAACAGACUAUCCGAGGAAAAUAUUGAACUGAAGAGUUCCCUCUCGUUUGAAAAGAAAAGAUAUCAAAUGCUGCAACAAAAUAGCACCAACAAAGAGCAUGUGAAAGUGCUUGAGGAGCAAAUUCGGGAUCUGCAAGGUGAGAGAAACACUCUUCGAGAUCACAAUAAAAAAUUGUUGAGUUUAGCGGCAGAUCAUGAAUCUCAUAAAACUGAACAUAUCAGAGCAGUAAUGAAGCAGACCAGAGAUGUUGAAUGUCAGAUGUCUUGUGAUUCUUUCCCGGUGAAAGAAUCAACAACGAUUAAGUUCAGCGCACCAUCCCAGAGAAAAAAUCAGCGCAAGCACAAGUAUGAUGCACUAUCUCAUGAGGAGGUAUCAGUGAGCUCAAAACAUAGCAAACAAGAUAUUUCCUCAGACUUCUCCAACGCUCUUGAUCUCUCCUCGUCCAGUUCUGCCAUUCUUGAUACGGAUGAAGGUCUCUCAGACCACAGGCUCGGCGAACCCAUGGACACGGACCAAGUUGAAAGUGUUUCAUUCGGUGAUGCAAGUUAUUCAAAAAUUCCGAAAGAAAAAUCAUCUAACACUAUCUGUAAUAAUAAUAGCACAAAAAGGAAGAAAAGUAAAAUGGAAGUAGAUAAAAAUGGACAAGAACUUCAACCAAAUGCAACUGAUUGUAUUCCUUCAUCUGCCGGAAAUGAUAAUGAAAAACUAACUUCAAAGACUGAAUCCAAAGAUCUUCCCAACUUAGGAAAUGGCAAUGAAGAGCUUUUACGUGCGGAACUUGCGGAGAAAUUGUGUGAACUUGAGAGGUGUCGGCAGAUGCUCAAGAUUCAGUGUAAUCUCAAUUCAAUUUACAAAGACGAGGUUGAAAAACUCUCAUCUCAGCUGAUCAAGGAGAGAGAAGAGACUCACAUUGAUGGUUCCGUCAGUGCGGUGGAAGUUAUGCUAAAAGAACAUUUGGCCAAACUAGAACAAUUUCAAGUCACCAAAACUCUUCGGUCUCACGAACAGCAAACUGACUCUCAAGAUUUUCCGGAUAAAUCACGAGCAGCGGAGAAUAAAAAGGAAGUAACGGUUGUUGUAGGAGUCAAAGAUGACAGUACUAGUUUAAUAGAAGAAGAUGAAGUCGUCCAAAAAAGUAAUGAUGCCAAAAUCAUGGAAAAUCCUACAUUUAAUGCCACUACAACAUCAGGAGGAAUCUCAAAGCAACUGGAGUCAACAAAUCAUGUUGUCUCUGAUAGUAAAAGUGAAGAAAAUCCAUCCCUCAAUGCGCAAAAUGACGUCUGUCAGUUUGAGCUCUACGUCCAUGAGUUGGUUCUAUCCAGUCACACUUUGACUCCAAAAACGCAGUUGUUCUUGACGUGGGGUUUUUUAGAUCAAGAAGAAUAUGCUUAUUCGCCAGUGAAGCCUGUCAGUGAUCUUAAUUUUUCAUGUUCCUGUAUUUACAAAGGGCAUUGCAGCGAGGAAUUUCUAAAGUAUCUACUAUCCCAUGGUGUUGUCAUUGAAGUGUACCAAGUUCUAGGAGAAGGAUGUUUCAAGAUUGCCGAAGCUAUGGUCGACACUAGUGCUGCUGUUAAAUUUCCAUCAAAGACGCAUUCCUUCAAAAUCCCGCUUGUCAGUCAAAUAAUUGUUGGUGCUCUACAUAGUUCUAUUAAACUUGUGUGCUCUUGUGAAUUGCGGCAGCGAUUCUUAUUGCAGAGUCAACCAAAGGAAGAAUUGAAAAGACCUGGUGUGGAAGCUGGACAGUGA
rnacentral:lncRNA from 1 species